rnacentral:tRNA from 1 species
UCCCUGGUGGCCUAGUGGUUAAGAUUUCAGACUUUCACUGUCAAGACCCAGGUUCAAUCCCUGGUCAGGGAA